AGUGAACGCUGGCGGUAGGCCUAACACAUGCAAGUCGAACGGCAGCACAGUAAUUGCUUGCGCUUUCGGGUGGCGAGUGGCGGGUGAUUGAUGAGUACAUCCGAAUCUACUUUUUCUUACGUGCUAACGUAGGGGCACUUACGCUAUUACCGCAUACGGCCUACGUGUGAGAUCAUCGGAUCUUCGGCUCUUGCGCGAUUCUAUGAGCGGUCGUCGGAUUAGCUGGUUGGCGGGGUAAAGACCCACCAAGGCGACGAUCCUUAGCGGGUCUGAUAGGAGGACAGGCAACAUGGAAACUGAGACACGGUCCAGACUCCAACGGGAGGCAGAAGUGGGGAAUAUUGGACAAGGGGGGAAAGCCGGACCAAGCCAGACGGGGUGGGUGAAGAAGGCCUUCGGGUUGUAAAGCCCUUUUGUUGGGAAAGAAAAGAAGAAGGUUAAUACCUCGCGGUUCGGACGGAACAAAAAGAAUAAGCACCGGCUAACUCCGG
rnacentral:rRNA from 1 species